rnacentral:rRNA from 1 species
UACGUAGGGGGCUAGCGUUGUCCGGAAUCAUUGGGCGUAAAGAGCGUGUAGGCGGUCCGGUAAGUCCGCUGUGAAAGUCGGGGGCUCAACCCUCGGAUGCCGGUGGAUACUGUCGGGCUUGAGUACGGAAGAGGCAAGUGGAAUUCCUGGUGUAGCGGUGAAAUGCGCAGAUAUCGGGAGGAACACCUGUGGCGAAGGCGGCCCCCUGGUUGGAUACUGACGCUGAUACGCGAAAGCGUGGGGAGCAAACAGGG